UGAUGGUUCGGUUCUUUUCAAGCACAAGUCAGGACACAAGAUGGCAUUAUGCAACCGCCCUACGUGGCUGGCAGCACGUAAGCGUAACAUAAUCAUAUUUUAUAAUUCAAGGGCAUUACCCGUUCGUGUCAUGAAUACUACAGUUGGAAAUGAAACAGAAGUUGAGCAUUCUUACGCGGUUUAGGACGGUGUUGCUCCGCACCGCGAGAGGGAAAGCGGAACCAAGCAUUUAUUUUUUAUUUUAUAUUUUUUCUUCUUAUGAAAUACAAUACAAAGGCCAAAAGGACUGUGGAAGUCUUCUCAGGUUUUGAUAACAAUUUGCUUACCUAAAGUAAACCUUGAGAAACUGUGAAAAAACACAAACCUGAUUUCACUAGAAAAAUUUAGUUCUAUUCAACGAUUAUAAAACCAACAAAUGAAGGAAAAACUAAAAAAUAUGUAGAGAUGUGAGAUUGGCGACCAUGAGAGAAUCUUUCAUGAAAACCAUGCCUUUAAAAAAAUAUAUCGUUUUCUGCCUUU